rnacentral:rRNA from 1 species
UCGUGGAUUGAUUUGUCUGGUUAAUUCCGAUAACGAACGAGACCUUAAUCUGCUAAUUAGUUGGGCAAAGUCUAACUUUGUUCUUUCCAACUUCUUAGAGAGACAGCUGGCGUUUAGCCAAAGGAAGUUUGAGGCAAUAACA